CCCACUGAAUUUAAGCAUAUUGGUCAGUGGAGGAAAAGAAACUAACCAGGAUUCCCUCAGUAACAGGGAGUGAAAGA
rfam:Tupaia chinensis contig190869, whole genome shotgun sequence.